rnacentral:rRNA from 1 species
AUUGAACGCUGGCGGCAUGCCUUACACAUGCAAGUCGAACGGCAGCACGGGAGUAAUCCUGGUGGCGAGUGGCGAACGGGUGAGUAAUAUAUCGGAACGUGCCCAGUCGUGGGGGAUAACGCAGCGAAAGCUGUGCUAAUACCGCACACGAUCUAAGGAUGAAAGCGGGGGAUCGCAAGACCUCGCGCGAUUGGAGCGGCCGAUAUCAGAUUAGCUAGUUGGUGGGGUAAAGGCCCACCAAGGCGACGAUCUGUAGCUGGUCUGAGAGGACGACCAGCCACACUGGAACUGAGACACGGUCCAGACUCCUACGGGAGGCAGCAGUGGGGAAUUUUGGACAAUGGGCGCAAGCCUGAUCCAGCAAUGCCGCGUGCAGGAUGAAGGCCUUCGGGUUGUAAACUGCUUUUGUACGGAACGAAACGGCCCUUUCUAAUACAGGGGGCUAGUGACGGUACCGUAAGAAUAAGCACCGGCUAACUACGUGCCAGCCGCCGCAGUAA